CUAGUCCAUCUUUUCUGGUUCCUGUUUGACAUCUUCUCCACAGAGAGCACGCGAGGAGCAUGCCGUGGUCCUCAUCUUCCCUUGCUUUAUCUCUAGACAGCCACAGCUACCCAAGCACUCCGCUUCAUCUUGAUUUCCCCUUCAUUUUCUUCUCCACCACGAAAGAAGCACACCCAGGAAAAUCCCAUCGAAGACCACCACGUCCUGCCGCCGUACUGCACCGUCAUGCCGUCGUUCCGGCCACCCCCAGAUGAUCUGAGACCACCGACGGAACUGCCUCAACCUCCUCCAUCUAUCCGUGCAAGAAAACGAGCCAGGGGUGCUCCCAAUCGACGCCACGGUCGCGCUCUACAACUCCGGCCGCGUGCAGUUUGUUGACGAUUCCGCCGCCGACGCUCCUCCUCCGACGCCAUCGACCUCUCCUCGACCUUAUGGUGAGGUGCCCGUCUCCGGCGACAUUCCGGUGGUCCCCGCUCCAAGAACCACCACCAUCAGGUUCAGCGCGUCUAGGCGCAUUCCCUGCGACCACUCACUCCUCGUGGUGCACUCCCAGCCAUCGAAUCCAUCGGCGUCCAGCACCACUGUACGUGUUGGCGACCAGUGCUCCAAGGUUCCAACUCUGUUCAGUUUCGUCAGGUUCUGUCCAGAAACGCUGCAAGUGAAUGGGCGUCUCUUUCUGUUCAACAUCUUCGUGGCGGCCUAUCUUGUUCGUCCUUACCAUUCGCGAGAACCCAGAAUCUGAAGAAGAGCAGCUCGUCCGUUCCUUGUAUCUAAACGAUGAGGUGCUGGGUUCAAUUCUUGCCCAGCACAACCCUUUUAUUUUUGCCACUCUGAUCUGCCAAUGGGGUUUGCCCCAGAUCCUCUAUCGCGCGCGCAUCAACCCAAAGGCCGCCAGCACCAGCUCACCUGACGCUGCAGCAUUUGCUUCUUCCCGGAUAGGAUCGCGAAGUGUUGUGGUGAGAUACAACAAGUUCUCCGGAUGUUCCUCGGCAAGCUUUAACAGGCAAGCAUUUCCCCUAUACUCCUGUCCCUGCAGGAGUCGCUCACCUAUUUUAUUUUGCCUUCUCCCUCAUGCUAUCCUUAAGUUGCGUUCUUGUCACGUGUCCCUUCCACUUGUUACCUCAAGCAGCCUAUAUUGCCUCCACCAACCACCUACAGCUAUUGUUUGGUUAUCGGGUUUGCCUUGCGAGUCGUAGUGCAUGCUAGUGCUGUUAUAUCUCGUUACCGUUACCGCUAUCUUAUCGGUUAUCUAUUGGAAAACAUGACACAUGGUUUAUGGAUAUAUCUGUUGAGGGUAUCAUGGUUACUUGUUAAUAGUUGUUAGCGGAGACAUCGGUGGGUUAGUUGCUCGUUUUAUGAUGGCUCACUUGUGUUUCCAUGAAACCUAGGAUCCCGAGUUCUUGUUAUCUGUUCCGAGACUGAGCGCUCUAACCACACGUGGGUAUGUUUCUGGGUCUCCCCUCGACCACUACCGGAAUCUACAGCUUUGUCCAGUGGCCACAACUAGUUUGCAAUGUUUUACCAUUUGUUGUUUGCGUGCAUGCCAGCCUGUUACUUAUUUACUUUGGGAAGCCCCUGGAUGCCUUGUAUCCCUUGUUUCUGGCAUGCACGUAUAGGUCGCGGAGCCGCUGCGAAGUGGUUUAUCGCCCCAGUGUGUGUUUAAACCACCUAGUACGCUGUCGCAAACAGUUAGGUCCGCUUCGGAGAUAUGGCCGGACUUUGAUACGGGUUCAACUUAGUUAGGUGGCUUCCUGGACAUUGUUGUCGUGAAGGAGAGUGCGAGUCUUGAUAUCCACCUGUCGCAAGUGGGUUGAUCGUGCGUGUGGGCACAUUUGGGCACCCCUGCAGGGUUAAAUCUUAUCGAUAAACCGUGUCCGCGGUUAUGGAUGACUUGGAGCUGUAUGACUCGACCAUAGACAACUUACACCUGUUGUUUCAAUACUAAUAACUUGCAUAGUAAGAUAGAGCAACUUCAAUAAUAAAUGGUUAAAACUUGUCAACCGUGUGAGUGCCCUUGUAAGUACUUCCUUGCGAGGGGGGAACGCAUCGGCUGUGUUAUGUUUGCAGAGUAUAGAAUUGUUAGUUAUGCGCUCUCUCACCUUCUCUGACUAGUCGACUGUUGUAGAGUGUCUCUAUAGAUUUUUAGUGUUUGCGCGCUGCCGCUUAACCCCACCAUAUUGCCUAUGACGUUCCUCUUGCGUCCUCUAAGUCCCCUGCGUGCCUCAAGUACAAAGGACGACUGGUUGACGAAUGCUUAUACGUCUUGAAGUCUUGUUAAGUACGAACCCGUACUUAUUGCUGCUUCUACGGGAUAUAACCGGGCAGGUAUGAAGAUCGGUACGAUGAAGAACGACGCUAGCAAGGUUACCCUUCCGGUUUGGCCUGGGCAGGGUUAUGGACGCCACUGGUUAUCUUCAGGACUCUUAGUUCCAAUUUUUAUCUUGUCCGUACUCGGAUGUAUUUGAUCUUUUGUAUGAUUUGGAUCUUUGUAUGUAUAUUUGUAUCUUGACUCGUUGGAGUCGUUGUUGUAA